UACGUAGGGUGCAAGCGUUAUCCGGAAUUAUUGGGCGUAAAGAGCUCGUAGGCGGUUUGUCGCGUCUGCUGUGAAAACUGGGGGCUCAACCCCCAGCCUGCAGUGGGUACGGGCAGACUAGAGUGCGGUAGGGGAGAUUGGAAUUCCUGGUGUAGCGGUGGAAUGCGCAGAUAUCAGGAGGAACACCGAUGGCGAAGGCAGGUCUCUGGGCCACUACUGACGCUGAGGAGCGAAAGCGUGGGGAGCGAACAGG
rnacentral:rRNA from 1 species